AAUAAGGACAUAUUUAUGGUUCCAGUUAAACUAUCCUACUUUGUUCAUGAUUACCUUUUGAAGACAUGCAGUGUGCUGAGUUUUAAACCAGUACAUGAACUCUUAGGAACUAGAUGACUGUUUUUCAUCAAGUCAUUUUAAUAGUUUAUUAAAUAACAAAUGCAUUACUUAAUUUGUUACGUUUUGGUCACUGUCUGUAUCCUAAGUACUCAGGAUAGAGUAUGUUGACCUAAACAGAAGCACAUAUGGUCAUUCCUGGAAUGUAUGAGAGAAGAAAAGGGUGAUAAAAGAGUCCCAUGCAUGGUAAAUAUGAUGAAAAGAAGGACAACUUGCCUGGAUGUAGGAAUCGAACUCAGGACCUUGCACCUGUGAGGCAGGUGGUUGAAACCAUUGAGCUAAAUCCCUGACCCUGGAAUUUACAUUUUGAUAGGCUCCUUUUAGUGCUGUACCUGCACUAUAGGUUAUGGAGUGAUCCUCUCCCAACAGAGGUUAUGGAGUGAUCUCGUCUGCAGAGGAGAAGGACAAAAAGGCAGAGGAAUCCCUCAUUUCAAAAGAGAUUAAGGAGUUGUGAAAACAGUAUCAAAUUUUGUAGAAAAGCCGCACUAUCAGAGAACAGUAUGUUGAAUGAGCAGAUUUGCACCAGGGAAAGGAAAAUGGCAUGCGCAUUGAAGGCAUUGGGUUUAGGAAUUUAAAGUGUUGUACCAGUCUUUGGAAGUCUCUUAUCAGGGCUUCCAGAGCACGACUGACAAUGUGAUAGGGUGCUGAGUCAUGUCAACUUGUAUUUACUGUGUGUGUCCUAUCCCAUAAUUCACUCUGUUAUAAUUGGAUGUGUGAAAUACGGUCCUUCAAUAUGCAUGAAUCUUCAAGGCAUUCCAGGUGAAGAAAGGUUUCUGUAGGCCAUGCAGGAGGAUUUGGCAGAAAUGUGUCCUGGUUAGGGAUUUGGGGAAUUUUUUAGGGCAGCCUCCGGGGUCUUUGUUUUUCUCAUCCCUGCCUCCAGAGAAUGGGCCUCAGGACAAAGGGGAAGGGGGUAAUGACACUUGAUCCUGGUUGCCCAGGUUCAGGUGAGUGGAAGGGAAGUUGUCCAUUGUAUAGUGUGAUAAUUUGAUAUGAAUGUAUACAAUGUGUGAUGAUCAAAUCAGGUGGCUAAUACUUCUAUUUCCUACAUUUUAAAAAUUUUGGACUAACACAUAGUACAGUAAUUGUACAUAUUGAUGAAGUACAGUAGGAUAUUUCAGUGCAUGUGUUCAAUAUGUAUUAAUGAAAUUUGGGUAAUUAAUGUUUCUACCAGGUUAAUUAAUGUAUCAUUACUUUGUGUAUUUUGAAGGUUCUUCUAGUUAUUAAAAAAAUAUGUAAAGACUACUAUAGAAUACUAGAACUUAAUACUUCUAUCUAACUAUAUUUUGGUGUCAGUUAUGAAACCUCCUUCUACUUUCAUCCCUCACUGUAUUUAACUUCUAGCAGUCACUAUUCCACCUUUAGAUCAAUGUUUUUUGGUACACACAUGUGCGACUUCUGGGCAUAUGUCAAAAGAGAUCUCAGCAUAUCAGAGAAUCAACAUACCAUAUGAAAUCAGUGCUUUCAAAACC
ensembl:lncRNA